CUAAAUCUACAAUCAGAAAGGGAAAGAAAGGGAACGGGGAGCUCGAGGGGGAAAACAGAAAGGAAAAAGAAAGGAAGGGGAAAGAGGGAAGGCAGGGGAAAAACGGAGAACAGGGAGAGAGAGUGACGGAACAGAGUAGGAAGAGAGGAAGGAGGAUCGCCGCGCUGUGCCGCUCCUUGUGCCGGUUGCCGUUGCUGUCGUCAGAGCCAGAGAAGAAGAGAAGCAAAACCGCGAAGAGAGAGAGAGAUCGAAGGAGACGUUCACUCACUCAUCGUUGUCGCUACCAUGCGUUGCCUCUGCUGCUGGUUCAGCUGCCGUCGAGCUCGCAGCAACCGUCACCAUGGAGACCGCCACUAUCAUCUCCGAAGCUGCGUCGUCGAUUAGGUUAAGGAGGGGGAGAAUCGUGAACAACCGGAGGAGGAGAAGAACGUGUGGUGGUGGGUGUUCUCUUAGCCAGAGUCGUUGAAGGAUGCUCCGCCGCCGCCGCCGCCGCCGGAAUCACGAGCUGAGCUGUGGACUGUGACGAUCGAUUUUCCGAAAGAAUCGUUGCUGCUAUGAACUAUUUCAGCCCUGCCCUGGAAAAAUCCCAAAAAUGUUUUUGUUUCCAUCUAGCCACUGUUAUCGCGAUUGUUGAUGACAUCGCUGCUGCAGAGGGUCAUCGGCGUCACUGUUGCGGUUGCUGCCACAAAUUAGGAAUAAAAGGAACUAUUGCGUUAAAUUCUGCAAUUGCGACAUCGAGGUAGGGGGUUUAAAAUGAUUUUAAUUUAGGAAUGCCAACAAGGUUUACUGAAUAACUGCAAAUAGUAUUAAUA